UUGAUGCAGCAGUAUAAGACUGAAUUGAGAGAGAACUUAUGUGAUUCUACCCCUUCUCAUUUUUGUGCUGCUUUGCAG
rfam:Haemonchus contortus, ISE/inbred ISE, WGS project CAVP01000000 data, contig: Hcontortus_36665